rnacentral:rRNA from 1 species
GAUCCUGGCUCAGGAUGAACGCUAGCGGCAGGCUUAACACAUGCAGGUCGGGGGGCAGCAUAAUGGAUAGCAAUAUCUAUGGUGGCGACCGGCGCACGGGUGCGUAACGCGUAUGCAACCUACCUUUAACAGGGGGAUAACACUGAGAAAUUGGUACUAAUACCCCAUAAUAUCAUAGAAGGCAUCUUUUAUGGUUGAAAAUUUCCGAUGGUUAGAGAUGGGCAUGCGUUGUAUUAG